GCUUAGAAGCAGCCAUCCUUUAAAGAAAGCGUAAUAGCUCACUGGUCGAGUCGGUUUGCGCGGAAGAUUUACCGGGGCUAAGCAUAGUACCGAAGCUACGGAUCUCACGUAAGUGAGGUGGUAGAGGAGCGUUCUGUAAGCCUGCGAAGGUCAAUUGAGAAGUUGGCUGGAGGUAUCAGAAGUGCGAAUGCUGACAUGAGUAACGAUAAAGGGGGUGAAAAACCCCCUCGCCGAAAACCCAAGGUUUCCUGCGCAACGUUAAUCGACGCAGGGUUAGUCGGGACCUAAGGCGAGGCCGAAAGGCGUAGUCGAUGGAAAACAGGUUAAUAUUCCUGUACUUGUUAUAACUGCGAUGGGGUGACGGAGCAGGCUAGGUCAGCUUACUGUUGGAUAUGUAAGUUUAAAUGUGUAGGGAGAGAGUUUAGGCAAAUCCGGACUCUUAAUUCUGAGACAUGAUGACGAGUUUUUCCUUGUGAAAGACGAAGUGAUUGAUGCCAUACUUCCAAGAAAAACCUCUAAGCUUCAGGUUAUAACGACCCGUACCCCAAACCGACACAGGUGGGUGGGAUGAGAAUUCUAAGGCGCUUGAGAGAACUCGGCUGAAGGAACUAGGCAAAAUUGUACCGUAACUUCGGGAGAAGGUACGCCUUUGGUAGGUGAAGCGACUUGCUCGUGGAGCUGAAGAAGGCAGCAUUAAAUUGGUGGCUGCGACUGUUUAUCAAAAACACAGCACUCUGCAAACUCGCAAGAGGAAGUAUAGGGUGUGACGCCUGCCCGGUGCUGGAAGGUUAAUUGAUGGGGUUACCUCACCACUAAAUGGUUUUGACGCAAUGUACUACGUCUAUGUCAUACAACCUGUAGAAAGAAAUAACUAUUUUUAUAUUGGCUACAGUAGCGAUUUAAAAAAACGCAUUGUUUCUCAUAAUACAGGUAAAAAUAAAAGUACUAAACACCGACAAUGGCGUUUAGUCUAUUAUGAAGCAUAUACAACAGAACAAAGCGCAAGACAAAGAGAGCAACGUUUAAAGAAAAACAAACGGAUGCGCUCACUCUUACUUGAUCGAAUAAAAUCAAGUUUAGAACCAUUUAGUGGUGAGGGAAGCUCUUGAUCGAAGCCCCAGUAAACGGCGGCCGUAACUAUAACGGUCCUAAGGUAGCGAAAUUCCUUGUCGGGUAAGUUCCGACCUGCACGAAUGGCGUAACGAUGGCCACACUGUCUCCACCCGAGACUCAGUGAAAUUGAAAUUGCGGUUAAGAUGCCGUAUACCCGCGGCUAGACGGAAAGACCCCGUGAACCUUUACUAUAGCUUUACACUGGACUUUGAACCUAUUUGUGUAGGAUAGGUGGGAGGCUUUGAAGCCAUGUCGCUAGAUGUGGUGGAGCCGACCUUGAAAUACCACCCUGGUAUGUUUGAAGUUCUAACCUGGACCCCUUAUCGGGGUUGGGGACAGUGUAUGGUGGGUAGUUUGACUGGGGCGGUCUCCUCCCAAAGAGUAACGGAGGAGCACGAAGGUGUGCUCAGCAUGGUCGGAAAUCAUGCAAUGAGUGUAAUGGCAAAAGCACGCUUGACUGCGAGAUAGACACAUCGAGCAGGUACGAAAGUAGGUCAUAGUGAUCCGGUGGUUCUGAAUGGAAGGGCC
rnacentral:rRNA from 1 species